rnacentral:rRNA from 1 species
GUAAGUGGGCGACACCUGAAGGAAGCAACGCCGCGUGAGUGAAGAGGGUUCGGUUCGUAAACUCUGUUGUAAGGGAAAAAAGUACAGUAGUAACCGGCUGUACCUUGACGGUACCUUAUUAGAAAGCCACGGCUAAUACGUGCCAGCGCCGCGGUAAAGAACAUGGCAGAUGAGUGUAGAGCCUGCUGCCCCUAAGUAAUGAAGGUGGGGAUGAAUAGCGUGGGGAAAAAAAAAAAUUUCCGAACUGAAGGCUUUCAUGGCAGUUCUUUAACAAUCAGGCCACGUCGUGCAGAGGGCGUUUAUGAAUUGCGCACUCUUCCUUCCCUCCGCAACUGACUCAAAUGCGCUCGGUCGUUCGGCUGCAGCCAGCGGUAUCAUCUCACUCUAAGGCGGUAAUACGGUUAUCCACAGAUUCAUGGUAUAACGCAGAAAAAACAUGUGAGCAAAGGGCCGGCAAAAAGCCAGUAACCGUAAAAAGGCCGGGGGGCUGGCUUUUUUCCAUAUGCUCCGCCCCCCUGACUAGCAUCACAAAAAUCGACGCUCAAGUCAUAGGUGGCGAAACCCGACAGGACUAUAAAGAUACCAGGCGUUUCCCCCUGGAACCUACCUCGUGCGCUCUCCUGUUUCGACCCUGGCACUUACCGGAUACCUGUCCGCCUUUCUCCCUUCGGGAGGCUUGAUGCUAUCUCAUAGCU